rnacentral:rRNA from 1 species
GUAGCAGACGCUUUGUCCUCUUAAAUACGGGAGCAAGGCAGUGUAAGAAGUAGCGAAGCGUUUUGUAUGCCUUGGGCGCAGCUGUCGGAAGACCCUGUACAGGCUCCAAAAGUGAAUAUGCUGGCAUGAGUAACGAAAAUCACGUACAUCCGUGAUCGCCGUAUGUUCAAGGGUUUCUACCGUUCUGGUAAUCAGCGUAGAGUUAUUUUCGGCCCCUAAGCACAUCCAAUCAAUAUGGAUUGUAAUGGAGGCAUGCAUGAUGGACGACACAGCUUGUGGCAAGUAGCAAACUGGAUAGAAACAGUGCGACAGAUGUGUCCAGGAAAAGCCAUGCAAUAAACGUCAGAACUGUGAUGAUUUCAUGUCGUUGAGAUUAUGAAUCCCAUCCGGUUCUGGUGUGAUACCGUACCCUAAACCGACACAGGUGAACGAGUCGAGUAGACUCAGGCGAUGAGACAACCACAUUGAAGGAACUCGGCAAACUAUUCCCGUACCUUCGGAACAAGGGAAACCGAUUUGGUGACACAAAAAUGGGGGUGACGACUUUUUACUAAAAAAUUAGGACUCUGCAAAAUGGUAACAUGCUGUAUAGGGUCUGACGUCUGCCCGGUGCUAGAAGUCUAAAAGGCGCAUUGCAAGAUGCAAAUGGAAAGCCUAGUAAACGGCGGUUGUAACUAUAACAAUCAUAAAGUAGCGAAAUUCAUUGCCAGCUAAUUCCUGGCCUGCAUGAAAGACGUAACGAUUGCCCCACUGUCUCCAGUAUGGACUCAGUGAAAUUGAAUUCUCCGUGCAGAUGCGGAGUACGUGCCCCAAGACGAGAAGACCCUGUGCAUCUUUACUGUACAUUUGCAUUGACAAAACGAUGAGCAUGCGUAGGAUAGGUGGGAGUACAUACAUCCUUGAAAUACCACCCUUGCCAUGGGUUUUGUCUUACACCAAAUUUGGUGCACAAUGCAUGUGAGGCAGUUUGACUGGGGCGGUCGCCUCCUAAAAGGUAACGGAGGCGUGCGAAGGUAAACUCAAUGCAAGACGGAAACUUGCUGAAGAGCGUAAUGGUAUAUGUUUGCCUGACUGUAAGAUGUACACAUCAAACAGAGACGAAAGUCGGCCAUAAUGAUCCACAAGUGCCGUGUGGAAGGGCUUGUGCUUAACGAAUCAAAGAUACGCCAGGGAUAACAGGCUGAUAAUUCCCAAGAGUCCUUAUCGACGGAAUUGUUUGGCACCUCGAUGUUGACUGAUCAUAUCCUGGGGCUGAAGAAGGUCCCAAGGGUUCGGCUGUUCGCCGAAUAAAAUGGUACCUGAGUUGAGUUUAGAACGUCGUGAGACAGUUUGGAUUCUACCUGGGGUGCGCGUAAAAGAAUUGUGAAAACCACGUCCUUGUACGAGAGGACCGGACGUGUACAACCACUGGUCGAGUAAUUGUUUUGCCGAAAGCAUUGUUACCAGGCUACGUUGUGAAAGGAAAAGAACUGAAAGCAUCUCAAGUUCGAAACUUUUUUCGAGACAAAUUCUUUAAGAUGUCGUGAAAGACUAUCACGUUAAUAGCCGAGCUGUCUAUACCAUGAAAAUGAGUAAUGCAUGCUCGG